UUUUUUUCAGUCUGAUCACAAUACAAGUACUUUUAUUUGAUAAACAGGAAGUAUAGAAACGUUGAAAGGAGUGGUAAUAUCCUUGUUUUAGAUUCAGAUUGUAUUAAUUUUUUUCUAGUCAUUUUUUUCUCAUUUGCAAUUUACUCUCUUCUUUUAUAUCUGUGCUAUCAGAUGAGAGUUAUAACAAUCCAUGCCCUGUAUAUCGGCUGUAUAUCGGCUUGAUUUCUUGGAGAGUUUUAUCUGUUUAUUUGAGUGGGAAAAAAGAUCUUUGGAGUGUAUGUGAAUUUCUAUUUUUAUUAUGCUAAUGGGCAUAUUUAAUAUGAAUAUUAUAUAUUUUUCACAUUUGGUUCAUAUUUUGCUUAUGUUUUGUAAAGUGAAUCAGUUUUCACAUUUUACAAGCAAUAAAUACAUUAUAUUUA
rnacentral:misc_RNA from 1 species